UACGAAGGGGGCUAGCGUUACUCGGAUUGACUGGGCGUAAAGGGCGCGUAGGCGGAUGGUACAGUCAGACGUGAAAUUCCUGGGCUCAACCUGGGGGCUGCGUUUGAUACGUGCUGUCUGGAGUUCGGAAGAGGGUCGUGGAAUUCCCAGUGUAGAGGUGAAAUUCGUAGAUAUUGGGAGGAACACCAGUGGCGAAGGCGGCUCACUGGACCGGAACUGACGCUGAGGCGCGAAAGCGUGGGGAGCAAACAGG
rnacentral:rRNA from 1 species